AGCAUAACUGAGAAAGCACCACUACCACAUCAGAACUCUUUUCAAUUUCUUUAACCUCUGAUAAAAACACUAGGAGCUCAUCAGCUCAAACUGGGAGCAGUGCAAAUGCUACCAAUUACAGUGGCAGAAACACUGCGGUUAUGUACCUAAACUUCACAGUACAAUUCAAGAGCUGGGCAUUACCAAAUCCUACACAAUGAAGACUAGAACAAACUACUGACUCACUUCAAACAGAGGAGAUCAAGAAAGUUAGAGUUCAGCUGAGUGCAAGAAAUUGCAGGCAAAUAUCAUUUGGAUAAGGCAUAUGAUCCUGGAAACAACUCAAAGUUCAAGCAGCAUGUAAGCACUCACACAAAACACCACCUGGGAACAAAAAACAACUGGACCAUUGGAUUAUUCUACAAGUUUCUUGAAGGCAUUUGGAUGAGCUGAGUUUAUUACAGCUUGUAAAACCCUAGACUGGCAGGGGCUUCACCAUUGAGAGCAGCAUUAGUGUCAAACUACUGUUCAAUUCAAGUAAUCGCUUUCUAAACAGCAGCUACAAGUAGCUAAUAAACAGCAUUUGCAUCUAUUCCUCAGAAACAUUUGUGACAAGCUAGGUGACCUCUAUGCCAGGACAGACAAGUCUGUGAUAGGUCAGACUAUGGAGAGUGAACCACAACCUCUGGGGCAGGACACAGGCAAGCCAUGCCACAGGCUUUGAGUUACAGCAGCAACACCUCUGCAGAGGGUAGGCAGCACCACACCUGUACCACAAAUUACUGCUCACACUGCCCCAUCCAUCUCCAACAUGAAACAUUACCUGUUUCUCCCUAAAGGAACGCUUGUUCUUGGUCCGGACACUAUGGCUGUAUCUCAUCAUCAUGAAGUUCUUGUUCUUUUGCUUUUCUUUGUUGGAAGAGCUGGCAAAUGGGUUAAUCUUGGUUUUCUUUUUCACAAAUUCCUUUCUGUCUGUUUUUCCAGCCUAGAAUACAGUGUGAUAGAUCAACAGGGGGUUAUUUUCCUUCACCUACUUAUCAACAUCACCUGCCUGAUGGUAACAGGUUCCAUGGCAGUAACAGCAAAUCUGAGUUCAUCAUGACUGUGUUCAUACAUGCCUUCUCCCAUACAGGCUGUAUUUGUUAAGUCAAAGUGAUAAUUUGGUCUGUUUGCUUUUUCAUGGUCACAUGUGACCAGAAGGAGACUGUUACAGCCAAGACGCAACAGCAAAGAACCAAACAAAUCACUUCUCAAAAUCCACAUGGCCGCUGGGCACCUACCUUAGAUAUGCAGCCUCAGCAUUUCCUCCUGCACAAGACCAACCCAAACCCAGAAGGACAGGAUACAGGACACACCAGUUUCUCACCUUUGCUGUUGCCAAUCUGGUCUCCUUGUCCGACUUGGGCUUCUUAUGCAGAUGUUCAAUAUCUCUGAGUGAAAGCAACUCCCCCCUACACACAAAUCCAAUAAAUGUCAGCACACAAAACUUCAGCUGGCAAGGGAAAAAAACAUGCCCUCUUCACCCUUUGUCUCUUACCCAUCCUAGGCCACUGUCUCACCAACAGUUUAGACACAAAUACUUCUUGUUCCCUUCAAGCUGCUCCUCAUGCUUGGGAUAUCCAUUACACAAGUCACCCACUUAUUUUUCAAGUCCUUUUCCCACCAAGUUUAAGAAACGCUGGAGCUACAACCAGGCAGCUACUGCUGCAAAACACCCCCUCUCACACCUGUUGGCCUGAACAAGUCAAACAGUCUCAGACCUUCCACAAGCUCCUCAUGACGUUUUUCCCAGGUAUAAGCAAAGCCCCAGCCCAGGAUCCAUUCUAGGCUCUGGCUGUCACCAGGGAGCACUGAUGAACAGCAGAGCCCUGCAUCCUGCUGCAAUGACAAGCUGCAUCAGGAGAGGAUAGGUAAAAAAACCCCAAAAAUCAAACCACUCAACAGCCCAUAUCCUACCUGCCCUCCUCCUCCUCUUCAUCAUCUAUUUCAAUAUAUUUGCGCUUGGCAGCUUUGCCAGGUGCAGAAUUAAUUUCUUUGGAAAGCUGGGCAAGACGUAUUUUCUUGAAGUCUUCCUGAGUUAGCAGCCUGCUUGUACUGACUGCUGCAGCUUUGGCUUUCCGUUCCUCUAUGGGCAUGCUUUUCACUUUUUCUGCCUUUGGAAAAGAAAAUGGUACAAAAGAAUCAGAGCAUCGCACCCCACCCCUGUGCUACAAUCCAUGAUCCUUGCCUCCCAAAUACACAACAUACAAUGGCAAUACUGUUGGGAGAUGCUACAACCAGAUAUUAGACCUUUUGCUUGUCUCAUAUCCAACAUCUAGUGUCUGAAUGGAGUGCAUGCACACCAGAUUUUGGGAGUACAAGCUCUCAGCUGAUGAUCACAGCUCUGAAGGCACUGAGCCCUGAGAUAUAACUCCUCUUUCUCCCCUCCCACCCUAACAGCACAUUAACUGCAGCAACAGCACUUCAGCCUCACUGCUUCAGGACAUCUCGCUCUGAAGGCCAGGGUAGGUAUUUAAAAGCAGUACAUGAGGGUGAAGAGCAAGAGGAUCUGGCCUAUAAUUAACAAAACUCUAUGUAUUUGGCAUAGAAGAGACUUUCAACUCACUACUUGUUGCUGCUGCUCCUCAUCGGAGGAGUGAUGCACAUCAAUCCAUUCUCCAUCGUCAUUGUCCUCCUCCUCACUCAGACUGGCACUUUCCCAGCCAUCUGCUCACAGAAUAAGUACAGAGCUGUUAAUACAAAUUCAUCUUCACUACCCAGAUAGGCAAUAAUUGAUGCUUGGAUCACCUGCUCUUGCUGCCAUGUAUUUCACUUAGCUCCUAACUGUAUUUUGCCCUGGGACAUGAUCAACACUACGCUCUGCAACGCUCAGUUGUCAUCUCCAGGGCAAGAUCCUAAAAACGAGGUGCAUUUGGGACAGGCUGAAGCACCACAGGAGUUAACAGACACUGAUUACCCUCAUCAGCAAUAGUGUUCCCCACACCCAGCCACCUAAACCAGCCCAACAAGAGAAGCACUGUGGUUUAUAGCUGGGUUAGUUACGAGUCUAAGCACUGCUCUUCACUACCGUGCUGGCUGCUGUGCUGAAGUUAGCAGCUGCAGCAGCCAAGCCCAGUAUUACAGUGAUCACUGCACAGCCUGUCCCAUCAGGGCCUACAUUCCUCCAACACAGCACCUGCAGCAUCUUCAAGGCACUCAGACUUCAUUUGCCAAACUGCCUUGCUUUUAAAGGCUCUUCCAUCUCUUUUCUGACUCAGGCAGGGGUUCCAGGGUGUGUAAAGCAUUUACACAGGAACUGAAUUCAAUAAGCCAUAUAUUAUAUCCAACUACUAUUUUGGUGUUCUACAAUAUUCAAAAGGUUUAAUUUAGGAGAAGCUGAACACAGUUCACAGCUGUACUGUCUGUCCCUCUGCUUCCCAUCUCAGUGUGUACCAUAAAAACCAAACAGUACCAAACCCCACUGACAAACUGCACUUACUCAAGGACAGACAUGUGCAAGCCAAGGCACAGCACAGCAGGAAAUGAAAUGCACUAACACCAGGUUCCAUGUCCGCAUAAAACCUUAGUGAUGGUGAUGCCCAAACCAGAAUUUUUGAAGAAACAAGGCCAACCUUCCUCUUGGGUUCCUCCCUUUUCCUUUUGAUCCGCAACCUCCAGUACUUCUGCUCCUGGAAUGUAGUCUUUGGCAUCCAGUUCU